ACUUGAUUGUUCGAGUGCUUUGCCCUCUGUGUGAGCUCCACAGAUUUUCAUUCUAGUCUGAGAUCUCGAACGAUAAACAUAUUUUGGAAAAAAUACAAAAUUCUUUUUGUUUUUUCAAAUCCUACUUCCGUAAACAGGCAAACAACAAAAACCAAAGAUGUGCAAUCCUUGCUUCCGCUCAAUGCCCGGUACUUGCUGUGGACCAACUGGCGGACUGGGACCCUGUCUUCUGUGCGGAC